rnacentral:rRNA from 1 species
UUAGAUCAGAAGCGAGAAUGUUGACAUGAGUAGCGAUAAAGAGGGUGAGAGACCCUCUCGCCGUAAGUCCAAGGGUUCCUGCUUAAAGCUAAUCUGAGCAGGGUAAGCCGCCCCUAAGGCGAGGCCGAAAGGCGUAGUCGAUGGGAACCACGUUAAUAUUCGUGGGCCAGGAGGAAGUGACGGAUCUCGAAGAUUGUCUGCCCUUAUCGGAUUGGGUGGGCCGUUCAGAGGUUCCAGGAAAUAGCCCUCCAUCAGACCGUACCCUAAACCGACACAGGUGGACUGGUAGAGUAUACCAAGGCGCUUGAGAGAACCACAUUUAAGGAACUCGGCAAAAUGCCUCCGUAAGUUCGCGAGAAGGAGGCCCCGUCUGUAGGCAACUAUGGGCGGGGGGCACAAACUAGGGGGUGGCGACUGUUUACUUAAAACACAGGGCUGUGCGAAGCCGUAAGGCGACGUAUACAGUCUGACGCCUGCCCGGUGCUGGAAGAUUAAGAGGAGGGGUGCAAGCUCUGAAUUGAAGUCCCAGUAAACGGCGGCCGUAACUAUAACGGUCCUAAGGUAGCGAAAUUCCUUGUCGGGUAAGUUCCGACCUGCACGAAUGGCGUAACGAUCUCCCCGCUGUCUCAAAUGUGGACUCAGCGAAAUUGAACUGUGUGUCAAGAUGCACACUACCCGCGGUUAGACGGAAAGACCCCAUGCACCUUUACUCCAGCUUUGCACUGGUAUCAGGAUUGUGAUGUGCAGGAUAGGUGGUAGGCAUCGAAGCGGGGACGCCAGUUCUCGUGGAGCCUCCCUUGAGAUACCACCCUUCGCCAUCUUGAUAUCUAACCGCGGCCCGUUAUCCGGGUCCGGGACCCUGCAUGGUGGGGAGUUUGACUGGGGCGGUCGCCUCCCAAAUCGUAACGGAGGCGCGCGAAGGUAGGCUCAGACCGGUCGGAAAUCGGUCGUUGAGUGCAAUGGCAGAAGCCUGCCUGACUGCAAGACUGACAAGUCGAGCAGAGACGAAAGUCGGUCAUAGUGAUCCGGUGGUCCCAAGUGGGAGGGCCAUCGCUCAACGGAUAAAAGGUACGCUGGGGAUAACAGGCUGAUGAUGCCCAAGAGUCCAUAUCGACGGCAUCGUUUGGCACCUCGAUGUCGGCUCAUCUCAUCCUGGGGCUGGAGCAGGUCCCAAGGGUACGGCUGUUCGCCGUUUAAAGAGGUACGUGAGCUGGGUUUAGAACGUCGUGAGACAGUUCGGUCCCUAUCUGCCGUGGGUGUAGGAGACUUGAGAAGAGUUGCCCCUAGUACGAGAGGACCGGGGUGAACGGACCACUGGUGGACCAGUUAUCGUGCCAACGGUAGUGCUGGGUAGCUAUGUUCGGACAGGAUAACCGCUGAAGGCAUCUAAGCGGGAAGCUCCCUUCAAAACAAGGUCUCCCUUGAGAGCCGUGGAAGACCACCACGUCGAUAGGCCAGAGGUGUAAGUGCAGCAAUGCAUUCAGCUGACUGGUACUAAUUGCUC